UACGUAGGGGGCAAGCGUUGUCCGGAAUCAUUGGGCGUAAAGCGCGUGUAGGCGGCUUGGUAAGUCCGCUCUGAAAGCCCGGGGCUCAACUCCGGAAUUGCCUUUAAAACUGCAUCGCUAGAAUUGUGGAGAGGUAAGUGGAAUUCCGAGUGUAGAGGUGAAAUUCGUAGAUAUUCGGAAGAACACCAGUGGCGAAGGCGACUUACUGGACACAUAUUGACGCUGAGGUGCGAAAGCGUGGGGAGCAAACAGG
rnacentral:rRNA from 1 species